GCGGCCGUGCCUGACUGGUCACGGUGUUCGCUUUGUAAGCGAAUGAUCCUGGGUUCGAUUCCCAUCUGCUCCC
rnacentral:tRNA from 1 species